UCACAAAACCAAUUGUUCAUCUGGUAAC
rnacentral:sRNA from 1 species